rnacentral:rRNA from 1 species
CCUACGGGUGGCAGCAGUGGGGGAUAUUGGACAAUGGGGGAAACCCUGAUCCAGCGACGCCGCGUGAGUGAAGAAGUAUUUCGGUAUGUAAAGCUCUGUCAGCAGGGAAGAAAGAAAUGAAGGUACCUGACCAAGAAGCCCCGGCUAACUACGUGCCAGCAGCCGCGGUAAUACGUAGGGGGCAAGCGGUAUACGGAAUUACUGGGUGUAAUGGGGGCGUAGACGGUGAUGCAAGUCUGGAGUGAAAGGCGGGGGCCCAACCCCCGGACUGCUGUGGAUACUGUGUAACUUGAGUGCAGGAGAGGUAAGCGGAAUUCCUAGUGUAGCGGUGAAAUGCGUAGAUAUUAGGAGGAACACCAGUGGCGAAGGCGGCUUACUGGACUGUAACUGACGUUGAGGCUCGAAAGCGUGGGGAGCAAACAGGAUUAGAUACCCCAGUAGUC